CGGGGUUUGCUAAUUUCAGAAAAAGUAAUCUCACUUCGUACCCCGAAAAUUUAAUCACAUAUGUGAAAAUGUCACAGCUUCGAAACGAGCUAUCAUACAUAUCCAAGUUUACGAUAUGGACUGAGCUACAGGAAAAAACGUUACCAUUAUCGCCUAUGGAAAAACAAUUAAAGAUAUUGAGCCAAUUUACAAAAAGAUAAAUCAGAAGUUUCCAGAGUGAUCUAUGGAUGAUUUCACCUUGUACACCCGGGAAAAUUGUGAAAAUGAUGUUCCAGACAUAUCAUUACUUUUUAACCUGAGAUGACAAACUAGAGGUUAUAAAAGGUCCUGAAUAACUGAAAUGGACAAAAAUACACAGAUUUAUUCAGAAUGUCAUACCGAUGAAGAUCACAUAAAAAUAUUUGGAAAAAUCAGAACUAUGGAUUGCAAUAUGGGACAACAUCCCUAAUGCGCCUUGAAAUGAGGAACUCAAAAGUCACGUGUAAAGAAAAAAUCUCUGUGUAGUGAUAUUGGACAUGUUUCUAUUUUUAACAAAUGACUGAACUUAAUUAUUUGUGGUGAUUAAGAAAGUAGAGGAACAUAGAAUAAAUGUGUAAAAACUAUGGAGCUAUUGAAUGUGUUCAAAGUAUUAAAUUUUCAAAGAACUUAUUGUGUUAAAAAGGGGAUAUUUUACCACAAGGAGCCGCAUCACAAAAGGAUGUUCGGGGUUUGCUAAUUUACGGAAAAAGUAAUCUCACUUCGUACCCCGAAAAUUUAAUCACAUAUGUGAAAAUGUCACAGCUUCGAAACGAGCUAUCAUACAUAUCCAAGUUUACGAUAUGGACUGAGCUACAGGAAAAAACGUUACCAUUAUCGCCUAUGGAAAAACAAUUAAAGAUAUUGAGCCACUUG